AGAAAGUGGUUUAAUUGAAAAUACCAGUUUGGGGAGUUGGGGAUAAAGGUUUAACUCCUUUUUUUUCUG
rnacentral:tRNA from 1 species